rnacentral:rRNA from 1 species
UACGGAGGGUGCGAACGUUAAUCGGAAUCACUGGGCGUAAAGCGCGCGUAGGCGGUCCGUUAAGUGGGAUGUGAAAUCCCCGGGCUCAACCUGGGAAUUGCAUUUCAAACUGGCGGACUAGAGUGCGGUAGAGGGAGGUAGAAUUUCCUGUGUAGCGGUGAAAUGCGUAGAUAUAGGAAGGAAUACCAGUGGCGAAGGCGGCCUCCUGGAUCGACACUGACGCUGAGGCGCGAAAGCGUGGGGAGCAAACAGG